GACGAACGCUGGCGGCACGCCUAACACAUGCAAGUCGAACGGACUUACAAGAGCUUGCUUUUUUAAGUUAGUGGCGGACGGGUGAGUAACACGUGAGCAACCUGCCUCUGAGAGGGGGAUAGCUUCUGGAAACGGAUGGUAAUACCCCAUAAAAUAUAAAUAUCGCAUGAUAGAUAUAUCAAAGAAAUUCGCUCAGAGAUGGGCUCGCGUCUGAUUAGAUAGUUGGUGAGGUAACGGCUCACCAAGUCGACGAUCAGUAGCCGGACUGAGAGGUUGAACGGCCACAUUGGGACUGAGACACGGCCCAGACUCCUACGGGAGGCAGCAGUGGGGAAUAUUGCACAAUGGAGGGAACUCUGAUGCAGCGAUGCCGCGCGGAGGAAGAAGGUUUUCGGAUUGUAAACUCCUUUUAUCAGGGACGAUAAUGACGGUACCUGAAGAAAAAGCUCCGGCUAACUACGUG
rnacentral:rRNA from 1 species